rnacentral:rRNA from 1 species
GAUGAACGCUGGCGGCGUGCCUAAUACAUGCAAGUCGAGCGAACGGACGAGAAGCUUGCUUCUCUGAUGUUAGCGGCGGACGGGUGAGUAACACGUGGAUAACCUACCUAUAAGACUGGGAUAACUUCGGGAAACCGGAGCUAAUACCGGAUGAUAUUUUGAACCGCAUGGUUCAAAAGUGAAAGACGGUCUUGCUGUCACUUAUAGAUGGAUCCGCGCUGCAUUAGCUAGUUGGUAAGGUAACGGCUUACCAAGGCAACGAUGCAUAGCCGACCUGAGAGGGUGAUCGGCCACCCGGGAACUGAGACACGGUCCAGACCCCUACGGGAGGCAGCAGUAGGGAAUCUUCCGCAAUGGGCGAAAGCCUGACGGAGCAACGCCGCGUGAGUGAUGAAGGUCUUCGGAUCGUAAAACUCUGUUAUUAGGGAAGAACAUAUGUGUAAGUAACUGUGCACAUCUUGACGGUACCUAAUCAGAAAGCCACGGCUAACUACG